rnacentral:rRNA from 1 species
GACUCUCGGCAACGGAUAUCUCGACUCUUGCAUCGAUGAAGAACGUAGGGAAAUGCGAGACUUGGUGUGAAUUGCAAAAUCCCGUGAACCAUCGAGUCUUUGAACGCAAGUUGCGCCCAAAGCCAUUAGGCUAAGUGCACGCCUGUCUGGGUGUCA